AUGCUAGAGGGAGUGGGGUAAAAUGACACAAAAAAGGUAAGGAUAGUAUUAGACUAGUGACAGUUGCAGAAGAGGAAUCAGUCAGGAGCUAUUAACAGUUUAAUUGAUACGCUUUUAUGAAGAAGUGGGUUUUUAACGAUUUUUUGAAGGAGUGGAGACUGGGUGAGCAUCUAACGGAGGAGAGAAGUGAGUUCCACAUGAACAGUGCAGCCCUCGAGAAAUCUUGAAGGCGAGCAUCGGAGGUGGGAGUACGGACAGAAUAUAGAUGUAAGACUUCAGCAGAUCGUAAGAGCCUAGACGGGACAUACUUGUGUAUAAGGGAGGAUAGAUAGGUGGGAGCAGCAUUAUGUAGCGAUUUGAAAGCAAGAACCAGAAUUUUAAAUUGAGCUCUAUAUUUUAUAGGAAGCCAAUGUAGGGACUGACAGAAGGGUGAGGCAUGGGAGGUGCGGGCGGACAGGAAGAUGAGCCUCGCUGCCACAUUCAUUAUGGACUGUAACGGCGCAAGUUGGGAGCACGUAAGACCACUGAGAAGCGGAUUACAGUAGUCAAGGCGAGAAAGGACAGUGGAAUGGACCAACACCAUAGUCGCAUCUGGCGUUAAGUAGGGGCAGACGCGCAAUGUUUUUGAGAUGGAAAUGACAGGAUUUGGUGAUAGAUUGAACAUGAGGCUUGAAGGAGAGGUCGGAGUCCAAUAGAACACCUAGACAGCGAGUCUGCGUGGUGGAGCUGAUGGUAGCACUGUUGACUUAGAGGGAGACAGACACAGGAGUAACAACACUUGAGGGAGGAAAGACCAGAAUUUCAGUUUUGGUCAAGUUUAGUUUAACCCCUUAAGGACCAAACUUCUGGAAUAAAAGGGAAUCAUGACAUGUCACACAUGUCAUGUGUCCUUAAGGGGUUAAGGAAGUGGGCAGCCAUCCAGUUGGAAAUAGCAGAGAGGCAGUCAGAGACACUAGUCCUACCAGGGUCUGUUUAUUCUAACCUUUCUGAGUUUAUCAGGCGAUCCUCAUCUCCGGCAGGUGCUGGCUUCUUCUUUGAAUUGAAGAAAGAGGGUGAUCUCAGAUCCUGUAUAGACUAUAGGGAUCUGAACAAGAUCACGGUGGGGAACGUAUAUCCAAUUCCACUUAUCACAGAGCUUUUUGAGUGCCUAAAAGGUUCCAAGUGGUUCCCUAAACUGAAUCUCAGGGGGGCGUAUAACCUGGUCAGAAUAAGAGAACAAGAGGAGUGGAAAAUCGCUUUCAACACUCGUGGCGGCAACUAUGAGUAUUUUGUGAUGCCCUUCAAGCCUGUGUAACGCCCCUGUUGUCUUACAGGACUUUAUCAAUGAUGUCUUCUGAGAUUAUUUGCACGUAUGUGCUAUAGUGUAUCUGGACAACAUAUUGGUAUACUUCCCUGAUAAAGAAAUAUGUCAGCUCAGUACUAAACAAACUGCUAGAAAAUGGUCUGUAUUGCAAGUUAGAGAAAUGCCUCUUCGAUCAGACCUCUGUGCAGUUCUUGGGGUACAUAAUUUCUGGGAAGGGUUUCAGUAUGGACCCUAAUAAACUGGAAGACAUCAAAACUUGGCACUUCCACAGGGACUUAAGGCCAUACAAAGGUUCAUGG